rnacentral:rRNA from 1 species
UACGUAGGGGGCAAGCGUUGUCCGGAUUUAUUGGGCGUAAAAGGCUUGUAGGUGGCCACGCCAAGUCGGAUGUGAAAUCUCCCGGCUCAACUGGGAGGGGUCAUUCGAUACUGGCGGGCUCGAGGCCGGUAGGGGGAAGUGGAAUUCCCGGUGUAGUGGUGGAAUGCGUAGAGAUCAGGAAGAACAUCGGUGGCGAAGGCGCUCUGCUGGACCAUAACUGACACUCAGGGACGAAAGCUAGGGGAGCGAAUGGG